rnacentral:rRNA from 1 species
GACGAACGCUGGCGGCGUGCUUAACACAUGCAAGUCGAACGGGAAGGCCCUGCUUUUGUGGGGUGCUCGAGUGGCGAACGGGUGAGUAACACGUGAGUAGCCUGACCUUGACUUUGGGAUAACUUCAGGAAACUGGGGCUAAUACCGGAUAGGAGCUCAUGCUGCAUGGGGGGGGUUGGAGAGUUUCGGCGGUUGGGGAUGGACUAGCGGCUUCUCAGCUGGUUGGUGGGGGAGUGGCCUACCAGGGCUUUGACGGGUAGCCGGCCGGAGAGGGUGACCGGCCACCUUGGGACUGAGAUACGGCCCAGACUCCUACGGGAGGCAGCAGUGGGGAAUAUUGCACAAUGGGCGGAAGCCUGAUGCAGCAACGCCGCGUGCGGGAUGACGGCCGUCGGGUUGUAAACCGCUUUCGCCUGUGACGAAGCGUGAGUGACGGUAAUGGGUAAAGAAGCACCGGCUAACUACGUG